rnacentral:lncRNA from 1 species
GGGGGUGGCGGUGGGAUGGUGACAUGGUUGUAGAAAGAACUUGUUGCCAUGAUCUCAUGGACAUCAACUUUUCCCUGUUCAACGGAUGUGGGUGACAUGGUUGCUGAUUGCCUCUGAAAGAAGCUAAGAUAUUAUAGAGGUUUGCUUGGGUCAUUCUGCGAACUAAUCCGAGACGACACAACUCUCUGUUGGAAUAUCUACCGGUCGGGUCCAAUGCAAGUAGAAGCAUCUCUGCAAGCUGUUCUCAGACAAGUCCGAAGCUAAAAGUUUGAUCAGAGAAUCUUGUUUUCAACAACCAGCUUUUACCACGUGACACAAAAACUAUAUGUGGACCGGUCAAAUGAUAAAUUUAAAAAGUUGGCAAUUAUCAACUAUCUUUUGCUCUGAAACAUAACACCACUAAAUUUUAGGAAGUGUCAAGAUUGUCAACAUGUAAGCUUGAUAUUUAAUAAAAAAAUGUCCACUUGAGGUCAGCGUUUUUCGAGUAUUUUAUGAGAAAAAACUGUGAUUGAAAGAGGUCCAAGUUCUUGAAGGGAACUCAACUUCACACAAAGCAUAUGAUAUGGUUUGAUAUUUGUGAUUAUCGGUAUUAAUUUGUUCUUCUAAUAAUACUUUCGGCGGUAAAAGAAGGGAGCUUUAACCCCACUCCAUUUGCACUCAAA